CGCCGCAGCCGCCCGCUCACCUGCUUCCCGCGCUCGGAGCAGGCCCCGCCGGCCCAGCGGAAGGGGCCGCUUCCCAGACGGACCAGGGCGGGAGCGCUGUUCCGUGAGGCGCCGCCCGUCUCAGCCGGGCCGAGAUAUAUGCAUGCUGCUGUCCUGUGUGCACCUGAUUCGCCGACCUCUCCAGUGCAUCCAGCCUUUGCUUGUCUUGCCUUCACGCUCCUUCAUGGAUCUAAAAGCUCUAGUUUCCUCCUUGAAUGACUUUGCUUCACUCUCUCUGGCUGAAAGCUGGGACAAUGUAGGACUACUGGUAGAACCGAGCCCACCCCAUACUGUGAGCACACUCUUCCUAACUAAUGACCUUACAGAGGACGUAAUGCAGGAGGCAUUGCAGAAGAAGGCAGAUCUUAUCCUCUCUUACCACCCACCCAUAUUCCGAGCACUCAAGCGCAUAACAUGGAAAACCUGGAAAGAGCGUCUUGUGAUCCGGGCUUUGGAAAACAGAGUUGGCAUUUACUCUCCACACACAGCAUAUGAUGCCAUACCUCAUGGAGUCAAUAACUGGCUAGCCAAAGGACUUGGUGUCUGUACCACUGUCCCACUACACCCAUCAGUGGCUCCCAGCUACCCAACUGAGGGCACUCACCGAGUGGAAUUCAGUGUGGACCAUACUGAGCACCUGGAGACAAUCCUAUCUAGCAUGCGAGGGAUCCCAGAGAUUUCAUCUCUCAUUACUCUCCCUGCCAGGGCUGAAGGUGAGGAGCAGACACGAGUCAGUUUGAACUGCACCCAGAAGGCACUGCUGGAGGUGGUGGCAUUAUUGUCACGGAACACCCUUCUUUAUCACAAGACUGAAAUAAUGUUAUUACAGAAGCCUCUGCUUCCACAUACUGGAAUGGGACGCCUAUGCACGCUGAGCGAGCCAGUCUCCCUGUCAGCCUUGACUGAACGAAUCAAAAGCCACCUAAGGCUGCCUUACAUACGCCUGGCCCUGGGAACGGGGAAGACAUUAGAAGCCAACGUGAAGGUGGCUGCUGUGUGUGCUGGCUCUGGGAACAGUGUCCUGCAGGGUGUGGAAGCCGACCUCUAUCUCACUGGAGAUGGCUAUAAUCUAGAUUGCAGUAGCUCCCAAAAUGUGAGAGGAAGACAGUCUACAACCCCAAAGAGCUUCCAUUCUAAAAAGAAAAGUGAAGAGUGGGGGAAGUGACGUGAUCAGCGUGAGGCUAGGCAUAUGUUUCAUUAGCUGGAUGUUCAUUUGUUGGUUUUGUGUGUCUAAUUUAAAAAUCAUGUCUUUCUGCCACCCUGGUUCCCAGCUUCAAUUCCAGCAUCCUUACAACCUGUUCUUCCUACAUGUGAGCAGUUCACACUGAGAUAAGUAGGUGACUGUGUAUUGGUGUUGUGGAAGAAGUUAGGAGGAUUCUGCCAGAUGGACAUGGAACCUCUCCUCUCUUCAGGUUACAACUAGAUCUUCCUACCAUUAGAUCUAGCUAUUAAGUUUUAACUUGUAAACCUGGAAACCCACCACCUUUUGGACGGUGUAGCUCCACAUUCCUAAGGCUGGGCAACUCACCUUCAUUCUUCCAACCCAGAUCUCCCAGCACAAAAUCCAAACCAAAAGAUGCACCUUGUGGAACAUGUCACGUUGUUCUAACACACUUUUCAGUUAAACAUUUCAAAACAUCUGCUAGAAUUACUGGUAUUACAUUAGUGCCUAAAAUGUGGUAGGUGCUCUGCAGACAUACAGAAAGGCAAUUCUAUCACAUAAGCAAGACAGCCUUUAACAGCCAGUGCUGUGUGAAAAGCAAACUGUCUGGUGUGUUUGCACAUAGUUACUGCACUUCCAGUAUCUAAUAUUGCUUUAAAUGGUACAGUGGGAUACUUGGUGUCUGAAACGCUGUGUAAAUUCAAGCUCUAACCUUUGGAGGUAGAAAAAGUUCCUCAUUGGCUAAAUCCUCAGGAGGUCUCUGGAUAGCGUCUGGGAAAGAUAAUUUCAGCCAUUGUAUGUCAAUCUAAAAUACUGUGUAUAAUGCUAAAAUGUAACUAUUAUUGUUGACAAAGAACUACAUAGUAACGCAGACUCACUUGGAAUGAUGUCAUAGGGUAACUUCAUCCUAGCUAAUAAGAAGCUGUGGCUCCAGAAGAGGGUUCUGGGUCAAGAGAGCCUUGCUGGAGAGAUGUCCCACCAUGAAGUACUGGAUGCUGUUGCCAAAGGGAUAAGUGUGAUUCUGUGUGAGCACAGUAACACUGAGCGAGGCUUUCUGUCAGAACUGCGAGAUAUGCUGGCUACA